rnacentral:rRNA from 1 species
UACGGAGGGAGCUAGCGUUGUUCGGAAUUACUGGGCGUAAAGCGCGCGUAGGCGGCUUUGUAAGUUAGAGGUGAAAGCCCGGGGCUCAACCCCGGAAUUGCCUUUAAGACUGCAUCGCUUGAAUCCGGGAGAGGUGAGUGGAAUUCCGAGUGUAGAGGUGAAAUUCGUAGAUAUUCGCAAGAACACCAGUGGCGAAGGCGGCUCACUGGCCCGAUACUGACGCUGAGGCGAAGACGUGGGGGAGCAAACAGGG